GCUGUACGGUGACGUCCAGAAACAUCGGUGUACGGCCUGCCAAGGGACCUGAAAAGAUAAGUUCUUGUGUAUUUUCUGGGGUGUGACUAUAUACAAACAUAUUGCAAAGAUGGACGGGUUCUCAAUAUGUCGUCGGCAUGAUAGAUAAUUUGUGUGGCCUUUUGCGUAUUAUAAAUCGUAUAGUAUAACAAAGCAAGAAGACUGUCUCGACCUAAUUGUAAUAAUUACGUUUUGUUGCUUCCAGAAUCUUAUCGAUGUCAUCAUGCCCGGAUCAAGAUCGGUGUACGACUUGCCAAGGGACCUGGAACUAAGUUAAGUUCUCAAUAUAUGUUUCUUAUGUGGUGUGCAAUGUCGCAGAUAUAGGCUGGGAUUAACUUGUCGUUGGCAUGAUAGGAAGUAAAUUGUGAUGUUUCGUUAACUGAGCAAAUUCUUGGUGGUAAGGUGCUUGUGUGUGUUUUGUUGACCUGCCAAGUGAUGUUACUUGUAGGGGUUUAUAUUAUAGUAGGCGUUUAUGUUAUACUUAUUAGGACAUUUUGUAAAUAGAGGCUCCUUUUGCAUCCAGGGCUUCAGUCCGUUUCUGUGGUGUACAGGCUUGGUGUGUGGCUGGUUUGGUUUUUGUGGCUAUGUCGAUGGCCACAGAAAUUCAGGCAUUUUUUGUAAAUUCUGUUCUUUACAAAACAGGGUUUUCCCUGGUUCACCAUCUGUUGUCAUUUCUGUUUUAUGUCAUGGUCAGUGGUUGUCGGGGACCUAGACCAUUACAUAAUCUGCCUCGUGUCGUUUUCUUGGGUCCCGAACCAAGAGAACGACACAGGCCAGAAAGGAAGACAGGUGGCUGAAGAGCCAAUUCAAUGUUAUAUAGAAUAUAGUUUAUUCCUUUACUAACAUAUUAGACUUCUCGGCGUCAACACAGUCACAGAAACUGAAUCGGCUAUGCAUUGGGCUUGUAUAUCGCAGAAACAGACUGAAGCAUUGUGUACAGAAGUAGCCAUUAGUCUCAAAAAUUAAUCCAAAAUAAACGGCAACAUUACUUGGUAUUUCAUCAAAGCGCACUCAGCACCCUGCCACCCCUCAGUACUAUUUCUAUGUUAAAUCUAAAUUGAAAUUAUAAUCGUAACUUCCUGUCAUGCCCCAACACGUAGUUAAGCUUUCAUUAAGUGUUAGGUAUAGUCUUUACCAUAGUUCUGAGUUAGGUUUUUAAUUCAUUGUCUUGUCUUUUCUUUUCUUUUCAACCGAGGAUCAUCGCACCGUAAGAAGAAAUGUCUGCACGCGGAAAGGGUGGCCAGGACUGGUGAAGGAAGGUGCCGAACGUGAACAAUAGCAGUCUUUCCCACACAUCUGACAAGGCCGCGAUGCACCGUGAGGCACAUUGUCCUGUACUGUGUGUGGAAGCCACGGAGGCAUGAGUCUUUCCCGACAUAGACAAGAUAUCACAGAAAUGUGUCUGGAAAGGUGAACAAGGGAGGUACCACGUGGACAGUCACUGAAGGCGCUUCACAACAUCCGGGGAGACAAUGGUCUUGACUGAAGCCUUCUUGGUGCCUCCAGUUGCGGGUUUGCUUGGAAGUCUUCAUCAGCUUCUUCAGAAGACAUUCCAUGACGUUUAGAUGACUUGAUCGGCACGCAGCCUUUCCACACAUUUGACAAGCAAUGUCUGGGCGUCAUGUUGGAAAAUGUCUGGACGUCGUGAGGAAGGAAGGAAGGAAACGAGCUGGGAAAUGGAGGUGUAAAGCGUCACCGUCACUGUCACUGUAACUGAGGGUGCUUCGUGACAAUAUCAAGUGCAUCACCAAGCCAA